UUCCUCUGUCUUUAUCCUCCCCUCCCAUCUGUUGCUUCAAGAGAGAGAAAAGGAGAAGAUAGAGAAAGGAGAUUGAGGAUUUUGACCUACUCGGCGAUCCGAUCGAUCUCGCGCGCGCAUAAAUUUUUGUUGACGCUUCGAUUGCGAGAGAUUGGUGCACCUUUCGUUGAUCAAGAUAAGAAGAUCACGUAGUAGAUAGAAUCUCCAACCAGUGUACAUGUGUGUUAGAGGACCACCAAAUAAAGAGUUGUUUUGUACUGCAGAUCUGCGCUGGCGAGGGCCAGGGCCUUUUAUUUGUACUUUUACUUGUUGGGGUUUGAGAUUUAUAUGAUUUUUGUAUAUGAUAUGCAGUAGUUCAGCUUUACAUACAGUGCUCUGAUACA